GGGGUAUUAGCUCAGCUGGUAGAGCGCUUCGUUCGCAACGAAGAGGUAACCGGUUCGAGUCCGGUAUGCUCCACCA
rnacentral:tRNA from 1 species